CUACACGUCGCUCUUCAGAUUUUCUCGUUGAUUGCUGUUUUAUCAUGUUUGUUCGGAUGCUUGAGCAUAACUCACGCUAUUCAAAGACGAACCACAGUGAACGGUUUCUGUCCGGCGAGGCUGACGGUCGUGCCGUCCCGUCGAGUAUGUUCUUCUGAUAAAGACUGCCCUGGAGGACACAAAUGCUGUCGAUUUGACUGUGGGCCUGUUUGCGUGCUGCCUGUUUUCAAGAGCGGAAGAGAACACG